UGGGGUUUUCCUUGUUACGGGUAACGACUACGCAGCUUUCUGGGAAUGCAUAUUUUGGGAAAAACAUUGACAUUAUUUUUUUAAAAAAAAAGAUGUGAAAAUAGAGAAGAAACUUUUCCAAGAUCAUAAGUGGUGGAGAGAAGUUUUCCAAGGAGAAAACCUGGGCUAAGUAUUAAAAACAACAACAAUAAAAUCAGACAGAACUGAAAGAGAAGAAGAAUGGUGAAAAGGGGAAAUGGGGGAGAAUAUUCUGUGCAGAAAUAACAGUAUGAAAGAGGCUGGUCAGCAAGUGACAGCAGAUUGCAGUGGAAAAAUCACAAGUUGUUCAAUGUUACUGGAGUGUUCAAUGCAUGUGGGGGGAUAGAAAGAAUUGAAAUUAGAAUGAUAGGCAUGGGUCAGAUCACAAUGGGCUAGCCAUGUCCUGGAAAAGAGUUUGAACUUUAUUCUGAAACCACUGAAGCAUGAAAUAAGGACAACAAAAUAAUAAGAAUAAGAAUAUUGUUAUUGUGUAGGCUGAAUAAUGGUCCCCCAAAGAUGGUUUCACAUCCUGAUAUGGUUUGGGUGUUUGGUGCCUCCCAAAAACAGAGCCCCAUACUGAGUUUAAUGCCCUGCUGUUGCUCUCUUGAAAUUUUUAAUAAUUACUUUACAAGGGGCCAUCCUGCAUUUUCAUUUUGCACUGGGCCUCACAAAUUAUGUAGCCAGUAUUGCCUAAUUCUAACAUUAAUCCUGAAAAACAAAAAAGUUAUACUCACUUUAUAAACCAAGAGACUGCAAAUCUCAGAGAAGGAGUAUAAUCCAUUAAUAAAUGCCUUGAAUCAGGUAAAUUCUGCUACUUGCCAGUCAGGGCCCCUAGGACAAGCUUACUAAUUCCUUCCAAGCCUCACUUUCUUCUUUUGCACAGUAAUUACAAUAUCUGCCCUGCAGAGUGGUCAUGAAUAUAACAUAUGUAAAGUACUGACACAGUGCUAGCAGAUCAGAGGGACUCAGAUGGUAGUUGCUGUUGCUCAAAGUCCAAGACUUAGUAAGAGAUGAAGAAGGAUUUCACGCCUAUAGUUUUCUUUUUUUUUUUCUCUCAGACUUGUAUUUUGGAAGAGAAUGCACAAUGUGGGUUGGUGAAAUGUAAGACCAGAGGCAAGAAGACCAGUUCAGAAACUGUGGCAAUGUCAUAGACAAUUUCUGGAAAGACUGUCCAUCUCAUGCCGUCUCUUUUUUCUUUGAUAUUUGCCUCUAAUACAUAGAAGUCAUCCUCCAGAGCUGUGUCCCCAUCACAUGACUCAAACUUCCUAAACUUCUUAAUCUUUGUUGGUCCCCAGAUUUCCCUAGAAAUUUGGAACUUUGAUCCAAGAGAUGCAGAGGCUAAGCAUUGUUGGAACCAAGUCUAUUCGUAGGAGACUCUCCAGAGAAGGCCCAGAGCAACCUGCUUGCUGCUGAGGUCCCCGGAGCCACUCUGAAGCCUGCCUCUCCACAAUGAUUUCUCAGUUUCUCCUUUCAUUCCACACAAGUAUACAUCCAAUAAAUCUUCUUCCAUUCCCUUCUGAAGCAACGAGUUGCAACCAAUAGAACCCUAAUACAUGUAACAAUGCUAGAGUUAUUGGGAGAAAUGGUUGAAACAUUAAUCAAAUUCGUGUAAUAGGUUUAGGGAGAAGAAGGUGCACAUUUAGGAAUAUGUAGGUGCAGAAGAAAGAGUUUGGAGUGCCUUCCACAUUUCUGGCUUCAGUGACUGGGUUGAUGUUGCUACAGUCAUACAGGUAGGGCAUAUGGGGAAAAAAAGGAGUGAUCGGAGGGGAAGAUACUGGACUCAAGGUGCCUAGAGGACAUUCAAAUGGAGAUAUACAGUUGGAAACUAGAUAUGUGCUUCUGGAAUUCAAGAGCGUAGUCUAGGCUGGCAAUACAUAUUUGGGAAUUUUCAGCAUUUAAAUUGUCAUUACCGCCAUGGGGGUGAAUGAGAUUGCCCAGAGUAUUAAGUUAAAAAAGAAGGAUCCAAUAAUGAAAUCCUAUAUUUAAUACCGAUGUAUAAGAAGCAGGUAGAAGGAAAGAAAUGCUGAAAGGAGGCUUAGAAGGAAUGGCCAGGGAGGGAGAAGCAGAACCAGGAGAAGUGCCAAAUGAAAGGAGAACGUGGAAAAGGAUAUGAUGUCUAAAUCAGUUCAGCAUCAUUACCAGUGUCCUCUUCAUCUACAGCUGAGGCUGCAGUCACGCUAUCAAACAUACCUCCUGAGCCUGCUCCCAGACCCAGGGAAUUUUUUUUUUUUUAAAGACAGAGUCUCACUCUGUCGCCCAGGCUGGAGUGCAGUGGUGCGAUCUUAGCUCACUGCAGCCUUCGCCUCCUGGGUUCAAGCUAUUCUUGUGCCUCAGCCUCCUAAGUAGCUGAGAUUAUAGGUGCCUGACACCACGCCCAGGCUAAUUUUUGUAUUUUUAGUAGAGAUGAGGUUUCACCAUCUCGAACCUGACCUGAGAUCAUCCUGACCUCGGGUGAUCUCCCCUCCUUGGCUUCCCAAAGUAUUGGGACUACAGGCGUGAGCCACUACGCCCUGCCCAAACCCAGGGAAUUUCUUUAAGCUCCAUCUUCUGCCUUUUGCUAUGGCCCUAGAUUCUCCUGCACUGCUUGGCUUUUUUGGAUGGAUGGCUUAGAGUAACAGCUGAUGGCUGUUAAAAUAUUGUGAGUUCACCAACAAUGAAAGAAAUACAAAUCGAAACAGCCUAAGAUUGUUAAGAUUCAGGCCAGGUGUGGUGGCUCACACAUGUAAUCCCAGCACUUUGGGAGGCCGAGGCAGGCAGAUCACCUGAGACCAGGAGUUUGAGACCAACCUGGCCAACAUGCUGAAACCUCAUUUCUACUAAAAAAUACAAAAAUUAGCUGGAUGUGGUUGUGCAUGCCUGUAAUUCCCAGCUACUGGGGAGGUUGAGGCAGGAUAAUCACUUGAACCCAGGAGGAAGUGGUUGCAGUGAGCCAAGAUCGUGCCACUGCACUUGAGCCUGGGCAACAGAGUGAGAUUCUGUCUCAAAAUAAAAAUAAAAAAUAAGAUUCUAUCAUGUACCUAUACCUGAUAUGGUUUGGCUCAGUCACCACCCAAAUCUCAUCUUGAAUUGUAAUAAUCCCCAUGUGUCAAGGGCCGGGCCAGAUGGAGAUAACUGAAUCAUGGGGAUGGUUUCCCCCAUACUGUUCUCAUGGGAGAGAGUAAGUUUCAUGAGAUCUGAUGGUUUUAUAAAUGGGCGUUCCCCUACACAAACUCUCUUACCUGCUACCAUGUAAGACAUGACUUUGCUUCUCCUUUGCCUUCUGCCAUGAUUAUGAGGCCUCCCCAGCCAUGUGGAACUGUGAGUCAAUUAAACCUCUUUUCUUUAUAAAUUAUCCAGUCUCAAGUAUGUCUUUAUUAGCAGUGUGAGAACAGACUAAUACAGUAACUAUAUCAUUAAUAUACACAAAUAAAGCAACAAAGCCUUAUGUUGGCAGAGGCUGUGGAGAGGAAGGCAAGUGCAAACUUUGCUGAUAGCAUUUUAGGUACAGUCAACUCUUCUGCAGACUAACCAGGGAAGCAGUACAUGAGCUGUAUGUGCCCUUUGUUCCACUUUGGAACAUACCUCAAGGACAUAAGCUAAAGGAAAAAUGUAGUAAGCAGUGAAGAUUCUAGUACCACUAUUUAUAAUGGCACAAAAUGAAAACAAUCCAAGUCCUGAGCUUUAAAGUAAUUUUUAAAU
rnacentral:lncRNA from 10 species